GGAGGUGAUUGGUAUGAUGGAAUGGAGGUGGGAAUGGAAUGAUGAUUCUUACCUCCAUUCCAUUCCUAUGCUUGGUAUAGUUUUAUUUUAGGAAUCACCAUUCUUAAGGGAAUCACCAUUCCUUUACAUAUAGGAAUCACCAUUCCUUCCCUCCCACAUGGUAUUACCCAUUCCAUUCCAUUUCUAAUUCACCUAAAUUUAGGUUUUGACAAA
rnacentral:lncRNA from 1 species